rnacentral:rRNA from 1 species
CAGUCGCCGCGGUAAUACGGAGGGCGCGAGCGUUACCCGGAUUUACUGGGCGUAAAGGGCGUGUAGGCGGCCUGGGGCGUCCCAUGUGAAAGGCCACGGCUCAACCGUGGAGGAGCGUGGGAUACGCUCAGGCUAGAGGGUGGGAGAGGGUGGUGGAAUUCCCGGAAUAGCGGUGAAAUGCGCAGAUACCGGGAGGAACGCCGAUGGCGAAGGCAGCCACCUGGUCCACUUCUGACGCUGAGGCGCGAAAGCGUGGGGAGCAAACCGGAUUAGAUACCCCAGUAGUCCCUGUCUCUUAUAC